CGGGCCUGGCCAGCGGCUCGGGGCUUGCAGGGAGGGCGGAUCUCGGGUCGGACCCGCAGCCCCAGACGCCGAGCUUGGGGGUUCCCCCCGCCCCGGCCUCCUGCCAGUCACUACCACCCCUAGCCUCUCCAACUGAGCUCGGCGCCGGGAGAGGAUUAAGUUUUGUACAUCAGGAAGAAGAAGAGGCUGGAGAAGCUACGCCACCAGCUCAUGCCCAUGUACAACUUCGACCCCACGGAGGAACAAGAUGAGUUGGAGCAGGAGCUGCUGGAGCAUGGGCGGGACGCCGCCUCUGUACAGGCUGCUACUUCUGUGCAGGCCAUGCAGGGCAAGACUACUCUGCCCUCCCAGGGCCCACUGCAGAGACCCAGCCAGCUGGUGUUUACCGAUGUGGCCAAUGCCAUCCAUGCGUGAGUGGCCUGGGACAAGCCUGGACUUCUGAUAGAGACCCAUCACGGUGCCCACAGAGCUCCCCACUCCCUGAUUGUCAAGACCUACUCUGAAGAUCUUCCCUGCCAAGACACAAGAGGGCUGAGCCAGGCCCUAGCUGUUCUCCAGACCCACCUGCUGACUCUAGACUCUAAGAGAGGGCCCUAGCCAGGCUGGACUUCUGACCACUGACUUCUCCUGACCUGAGGGUCCUGGCACAGAGGGCAUCCCUCAUGCUGAGAAGGUCAAGAGCCUCUGCUGGCUUCCUCAUCCCCUGUCCAGAUCCCUCACAUCAGGGUCUGCCCCGCUAAUGUGGAGGAAAUGAGGGAGAUACGGAGUGGGAGGGAUUGGGGGAGGAA
rnacentral:sRNA from 1 species